GAUAAGCUGUCGUUGAAGCUAUCAAAUCAAUACUACUUUUCAAGGCAACUUCAGUAUUGCCUAGUAGUAUUCAAGAAAGUAGAUAGGGCUAAAGUAACCUUAAGUCGUCUCCCAACGAACACGGAAUUGCUUUCGAAUAUCUGAAACUUAUGUAUGCUAUGCAAUGCUUAAGAACAAAAAUGAGGAUGUUUAAAGGUUGUUGUAAAACAAAUAGAAAACUUAAAAACAAUUAUGAAGAAACAGGCUAAUUCCACUGCUUUUCCAAAAUAGAUUCAUCAUCGGUUAUUCACAAAUCAUUGUUCAAUUGAUUAUUGUUUAAGUUUCAAAUUAAUUAAAGUACAUUCUUAAUUAAUUUGAUGGCGAUCAUGCAGUUAAUCAAAGUACAUUCUCAAUCAAAUGCAAGACCUUUCUAGAUUAUUCACAAUAAAUUCAACCAAAGUACAUUCUCAAUCAAGUUUAUUGUGUUUAAUCAUGUCUAUUCUUAAAUCUCUUAACCAAAUUAAAAGUUAAUCAAUAAAAGUAAAUUCUCAAUUGAUUUUAGUUGAAAUUAUUACUACCAACCAAAGUACAUUCUCAACUGAUAGUAAAAACCAUUUAAUCAUAUGAAAGUUCCUAAAUUAAAUCAAAGUAGAUUCUCAAUUAAACCNAGAAACCCUAGAACUCAUAUAAUUAAUAUGCAUGUAGAUUCAAACACAUAAUGAUGCAAAAAUCUUUGCUUUUAAUAUGAUAGAGAGAUGAAAGACAUAGAAAGAGAAUAACUUAAAUCAAUAAUCAAAAUAAACAAUUGCAUUAAUUCACUUAACCCCAGAAUCCAUAAUGAAAUUACAGCAGAAUAGCCCUAGGAGCUUAGAAACACAUAAUGAAAGAAGAGUGAAAGCAGUGGUGGAUGAAUGGAUGAAUGAAUGGUGUCCUUUGUGUCUCCCCUAGGUCUCUUUAUAUAGGCUUGAUUGGGCUUAGACUCUGAAAAUUCAGUUGAUAGAAUCUUUUAUCUUAUAUCUUCCAAAUAACUAAAAGAUUUAGAUAAUUAUAACAUNAUUUGGAAGAUAUUUUCUGUUGAUAUUUCCCAAUUAAAUUAAUUCAACAACUGAAUUUUAUCUUUUAUCUUUUCUGAAUUUUCCAAAAUUACAUAAUAACCCUGAAAUUUCCUUUAUCUGCACUUCANCCCCUAAGAAUUCUUCAGAAUUACAAAAGAGCCACUUAGUUGACCAGACUUUGACCAGAGAAGG
rnacentral:lncRNA from 1 species